GAUGAACGCUGGCGGCGCGCCUAACACAUGCAAGUCGAACGAUUAAAGCACCUUCGGGUGUGUAUAAAGUGGCGAACGGCUGAGUAACACGUGGGCAACCUGCCCCUCUCAUUGGGAUAGCCACGGGAAACCGUGGAUAAUACCGAAUACUUCGAGACUUCCGCAUGGAAGACUCGAGAAAGCUCCGGCGGAGAGGGAUGGGCCCGCGGCCUGUUAGCUUGUUGGUGGGGUAACGGCCUACCAAGGCAAUGAUGGGUAGCUGGGUUGAGAGACCGACCAGCCAGAUUGGGACUGAGACACGGCCCAGACUCCUACGGGAGGCAGCAGUGGGGAAUCUUGCACAAUGGGCGAAAGCCUGAUGCAGCGACGCCGCGUGCGGGAUGAAGGCCUUCGGGUUGUAAACCGCUUUCAGCAGGGACGAGGCGAAAGUGACGGUACCUGCAGAAGAAGCCCCGGCUAACUACGUGCCAGCAGCCGCGGUAAUACGUAGGGGGCAAGCGUUAUCCGGAUUCAUUGGGCGUAAAGCGCUCGUAGGCGGUCUGUUAGGUCGGGAGUUAAAUCCGGGGGCUCAACCCCCGCUCGCUCCCGAUACCGGCAGACUUGAGUUUGGUAGGGGAAGGUGGAAUUCCUAGUGUAGCGGUGGAAUGCGCAGAUAUUAGGAAGAACACCAGUGGCGAAGGCGGCCUUCUGGGCCAUAACUGACGCUGAGGAGCGAAAGCUAGGGGAGCAAACAGG
rnacentral:rRNA from 1 species